rnacentral:rRNA from 1 species
AACGAACGCUGGCGGCAUGCCUAACACAUGCAAGUCGAACGAGACCUUCGGGUCUUGUGGCGCACGGGUGCGUAACGCGUGGGAACCUGCCCUUAGGUUCGGAAUAACUCCCCGAAAGGGGUGCUAAUACCGGAUAAUGUCUUCGGACCAAAGAUUUAUCGCCUUUGGAUGGGCCCGCGUUGGAUUAGCUAGUUGGUAGGGUAAAAGCCUACCAAGGCGACGAUCCAUAGCUGGUCUGAGAGGAUGAUCAGCCACACUGGGACUGAGACACGGCCCAGACUCCUACGGGAGGCAGCAGUGGGGAAUAUUGGACAAUGGGCGAAAGCCUGAUCCAGCAAUGCCGCGUGAGUGAUGAAGGCCUUAGGGUUGUAAAGCUCUUUUACCCGGGAUGAUAAUGACAGUACCGGGAGAAUAAGCUCCGGCUAACUCCGU